rnacentral:rRNA from 1 species
UGACGGUACUUUACCAGAAAGCACCGGCUAACUACGUGCCAGCAGCCGCGGUAAAACGUAGGGUGCAAGCGUUGUCCGGAAUUACUGGGUGUAAAGGGAGCGCAGGCGGACCGGCAAGUUGGAAGUGAAAACUAUGGGCUCAACCCAUAAAUUGCUUUCAAAACUGCUGGCCUUGAGUAGUGCAGAGGUAGGUGGAAUUCCCGGUGUAGCGGUGGAAUGCGUAGAUAUCGGGAGGAACACCAGUGGCGAAGGCGACCUACUGGGCACCAACUGACGCUGAGGGCUCGAAAGCAUGGGUAGCAAACAGGAUUAGAUACCCUGGUAGUCUAUGCCGUAAACGAUGAUUACUAGGUGUUGGAGGAUUGACCCCUUCAGUGCCGCAGUUAACACAAUAAGUAAUCCACCUGGGGAGUACGACCGCAAGGUUGAAACUCAAAGGAAUUGACGGGGGCCCGCACAAGCAGUGGAGUAUGUGGUUUAAUUCGAAGCAACGCGAAGAACCUUACCAGGUCUUGACAUCCGAUGCAUAGUGCAGAGAUGCAUGAAGUCCUUCGGGACAUCGAGACAGGUGGUGCAUGGUUGUCGUCAGCUCGUGUCGUGAGAUGUUGGGUUAAGUCCCGCAACGAGCGCAACCCUUAUUGCCAGUUACUACGAAAGAGGACUCUGGCGAGACUGCCGUUGACAAAACGGAGGAAGGUGGGGAUGACGUCAAAUCAUCAUGCCCUUUAUGACCUGGGCUACACACGUACUACAAUGGCGUUUAACAAAGAGAAGCAAGACCGCGAGGUGGAGCAAAACUCAAAAACAACGUCUCAGUUCAGAUUGCAGGCUGCAACUCGCCUGCAUGAAGUCGGAAUUGCUAGUAAUCGCGGAUCAGCAUGCCGCGGUGAAUACGUUCCCGGGCCUUGUACUCACCGCCCGUCA